CCGUCCUGGGGCGCACGGACAGGACCACUCGCUCAGAGCUGGGGACCCACUGGAACUCAAGCCGCUGGUCCGCACCCAGAAGCCCCCACCCGCCGUGGAGGUUCCCGCUGCGGGGUCCCGGGCCUCCUCCCCACCGAGGGUCACCGCCGUUUCCCUCCCGGCCCACGCUCUAACCUCUGCUCUUGGGAAGGUGGGCAACCAGGACCUUGAGUUACUAGAAAAUCUGGAAACGGGAUUUCGGCCUUCACUAAACCUGCUGGCGCAGGAGGGGGACCAGAAAGAUGGCGAAGCUGCGCGUGCGCAGCACUGUCCGCGGCCGGGGCGCAAGUUCUGCUGGCUUGUCUCUUGGCUCAGGUGGAAGACGAAGAGAGUAAAGAAUCCCACCCCUAACAGACACUACCCCCUUAAGGAAUAAGGACUAGCCUGAGCCCUCAGGCCCCCACCCAUGUUUGACUCGGAGACAAUGAUUCCAUUGGACCUUCACUGCGGACCUGUAGUAUCCACUGUCUUUUGCCCCACAUUUUUCUUAUAUAAACCUGAAAAUAUUUUUUAGCACUUUGGAGACAGUCUUUGAGAUGCUAGUCCACCGUCUUCCUUGUAUUGGCCUCACUGAAAUAAAUUCCUUUCCUGUUUCACCAUG